UUGGUUGGCAGUCACAUUGUUAUCUAAUAUCUAUUAAAGUGCAAAUUUAAGUAUUUAACGAAGAAAAGAGUGGCUUAAAGUUUAAACAAACGAAGGCUUUAAAGAACCUGGCCUUUGUGAUGGGCUCGAUGCUUUGGUCCAAUUAAUUAAUGGUGGUUCAACAAAAGACAAGGACAUGACAAAAGGUCAAAGCUGCCAAUGGAUGGAUUAUUAUUCAUAAGUGGUCCAGUUGAUAUUUUAAUUUUUGUCUUUUCAAAAAAGGGGUACUAUAAUUUUCUAAUACUACAUAAAAGCACUGAUAAGUGUGAGAUAUUAGUGAUGCAGUAAUGAUGUCACGUGUCAAUUUAUUUAAAAUCUUCAUUAUUAUUUGGUCAUCCUAUCAUCAUUGUGACAUGCCCCAUAACACGACACUUUUCAUUAUUGUUUCAUUUAAAUAUUUUCGUUCUUGAUAUUUCUACGAAGAAAGGGUGAUGAUAUAUUUAUUUAAUUGAAAUAUUUAGUUUAUGGAUUAUAUCUUAAUUAACGUGUCAUUGAUAAAAAUUUAUUAUUUGAAUUCAAAGUAAUAAGGCUUAGUGUCUAUUUGGUACGGUUUAUCUAAUGGUUAUAAGUACUUAUUUAAUUUCAUAAGCUCUUAUCAAAAUUUUUGUUAGUGUUUGGUUGAUUUUUUAGUAGAGAGUUUGAAUGUUAAAUAACUUAUUUUACCUUUAUU
rnacentral:lncRNA from 1 species